rnacentral:rRNA from 2 species
AAACGACUCUCGGCAACGGAUAUCUCGGCUCUCGCAUCGAUGAAAAACGCAGCA